rnacentral:rRNA from 2 species
GAGUGGCGAACUGGUGAGUAACACGUGGGAAACCUGCCCAGAAGCGGGGGAUAACACCUGGAAACAGAUGCUAAUACCGCAUAACAACUUGGACCGCAUGGUCCGAGUUUGAAAGAUGGCUUCGGCUAUCACUUUUGGAUGGUCCCGCGGCGUAUUAGCUAGAUGGUGGGGUAACGGCUCACCAUGGCAAUGAUACGUAGCCGACCUGAGAGGGUAAUCGGCCACAUUGGGACUGAGACACGGCCCAAACUCCUACGGGAGGCAGCAGUAGGGAAUCUUCCACAAUGGACGAAAGUCUGAUGGAGCAACGCCGCGUGAGUGAAGAAGGGUUUCGGCUCGUAAAACUCUGUUGUUAAAGAAGAACAUAUCUGAGAGUAACUGUUCAGGUAUUGACGGUAUUUAACCAGAAAGCCACGGCUAACUACGUGCCAGCAGCCGCGGUAAUACGUAGGUGGCAAGCGUUGUCCGGAUUUAUUGGGCGUAAAGCGAGCGCAGGCGGUUUUUUAAGUCUGAUGUGAAAGCCUUCGGCUCAACCGAAGAAGUGCAUCGGAAACUGGGAAACUUGAGUGCAGAAGAGGACAGUGGAACUCCAUGUGUAGCGGUGAAAUGCGUAGAUAUAUGGAAGAACACCAGUGGCGAAGGCGGCUGUCUGGUCUGUAACUGACGCUGAGGCUCGAAAGUAUGGGUAGCAAACAGGAUUAGAUACCCUGGUAGUCCAUACCGUAAACGAUGAAUGCUAAGUGUUGGAGGGUUUCCGCCCUUCAGUGCUGCAGCUAACGCAUUAAGCAUUCCGCCUGGGGAGUACGGCCGCAAGGCUGAAACUCAAAGGAAUUGACGGGGGCCCGCACAAGCGGUGGAGCAUGUGGUUUAAUUCGAAGCUACGCGAAGAACCUUACCAGGUCUUGACAUACUAUGCAAAUCUAAGAGAUUAGACGUUCCCUUCGGGGACAUGGAUACAGGUGGUGCAUGGUUGUCGUCAGCUCGUGUCGUGAGAUGUUGGGUUAAGUCCCGCAACGAGCGCAACCCUUAUUAUCAGUUGCCAGCAUUAAGUUGGGCACUCUGGUGAGACUGCCGGUGACAAACCGGAGGAAGGUGGGGAUGACGUCAAAUCAUCAUGCCCCUUAUGACCUGGGCUACACACGUGCUACAAUGGAUGGUACAACGAGUUGCGAACUCGCGAGAGUAAGCUAAUCUCUUAAAGCCAUUCUCAGUUCGGAUUGUAGGCUGCAACUCGCCUACAUGAAGUCGGAAUCGCUAGUAAUCGCGGAUCAGCAUGCCGCGGUGAAUACGUUCCCGGGCCUUGUACACACCGCCCGUCACACCAUGAGAGUUUGUAACACCCAAAGUCGGUGGG